UACGUACUUCCUCCGUUCCGAAUUACUUGUCUUAGAUUUGUCUAGAUACGGAGAUAUCUAGCACUAAAAUAAGUCUAGAUACAUCCGUAUCUAGACAAAUCCAAGACAAGUAAUUAGGAAUGAAAGGAGUAGUUC
rfam:Triticum aestivum genome assembly, contig: Triticum_aestivum_CS42_TGACv1_scaffold_096438_2AL